GACUGUGAUUCAUGAGUCAGAGAAAAACUUUGGGUUCAUGCUUCGGAGAGUAAAGCAUUCAGGGUCGGCUCUUUCCCUCACUGCUAACUCUUCCUCAGGCCCAGUUGGAAACCAGAAAACUCUUGGGGUGGGAGCGGGGAGCGGUGUGCAUUUGGGGAACUACAGAUGCUGAUAUGUUACCACGUUCUACGGAUUUGGCGUUUGUAUCCUGUUGUUUACACGUACUGAUUGCAUUUGCAUAGAUGCAGCGCUCUGUGGUUUCCGUCAUGAGCCUUCGUGGGCAGGAACAGCUCCUGUGCCAUCCUCUCAAAGGGGACAUCUCCAAGCUCAUCCUCUGUGCUUCAUGGAACCCCUUGGGCCCUGUGAUCGUCUUAUGAUGAUAGAGAUGAUGCCGUCAGAAGAUGAAGCCAAAGGAACCUUUUUAAAGUAGGCUCAGGUGCUGUUGGGUCUUCUUCAGGGGGUGUCUCUCCGUUUACAGAGUAGAGAACUGAGGAAUCACCGCUGUGUGUAUCAUCAUGAACAAACCCCUAUGGCCAAACAGCCAAGGCCAGUGAUUUUCUAAAGCCCUGCAAACCCCUGGUCCUGUUAGUGCGACACGGCUGCGGAAACAAGUGAGUCUGGUUCACUGACUUGGCCUCUAACGCCAGAUGGAGGACGGAAGACCAAGCUCCAUCUUUUCUCUGAACGUGCCUCAACCGAGGACAUUGUCCGUCUCCAUCCCUGAAUCCUAUGUUUGCCCCCCACCACGGGCAGCAGUUUCAUUAGAGGGGAGUGCGUUUUUUUUCCUAACGUAGCCUGGAUGGGCGGAUACGUGUUGAGCUAACAAGGUGUGGGGCCUGGUACAGGAAUAAGGUCAAUCUGAAGUCAGCUGACUCGGAGGUCUUUCCCUCCAAUGCAGACCCAACUACCCAAAUCGGAAAUGGAGGCCGACCUCUCUUGAUUGAAGUGGCCUUGUUCAGCCAGCAGAGACCCAUAGGUGAGCUAGAGCCCGCCUCCACCAUUCGGAGGGUUACUGCCUCGCAGCUGCCCCCGGAUGGUAGCAGCUGAACAGAACCCUAGUAGGUCUUUCCUGACAGCUUUGGGAGGAGCCACGCGCAAAUAACUGUUUCCUAGUUCGAUGCUCUGGUUGUCCAAGAUUCAAAGCCAGGGCUGAGUCCUCCUAACAGGGCGAGUUCUCUGACAAGGAAGUUUUGCAACCGAAUUUACAGCUGGAGUCAAGCUUGUCAGUGAGGGCCAGAGGGGAACUGUCGCAAUCCACUGGUUAAGUAUGCAUUUAAUAGUGUUUAUCCAAGCAAGUUUGUGAUUUCUUCACUCUCUCCAACAAAUAUGUUAUUUGUAAUACCUAUCUUCUCCAAUCUAGGUGUUCGAAAAAUGUCUCUAACGUGUGUGGGCUAGAACACAUUUUGUUUUUCUGUGGGUAUAUUAUUUAACAAGGGAAGUCUUUGAGGAACUAUCAAAAACUGCUUGUCAUCUUUCCAAAUCAUCUCUCUCUGCAGUGACCAUGACUUAAUCCUGAAGGAAAACAAGGUAAUCUUUUCAAAUAAACAUUCUCAAGGAUGUUUAGAGGGAACUCAAUUGCUAGUAUGCAGAGCCCUCCCUGUGACUGAAAUAGUUAUAUUGAAGGAGUCCAAUUACAGUAAGUUGGAGUGUUUGUAAGCAUUUGGGUAUUUUCAGAUGAUUAACAAUAAUAAGCUAAAUUGCAAACAAAGACUCGUGCGUGUGUGUGUGUGUGUGUGUUCGAAGAGUCACUUGGGAUCUUGUUGCUUAAUGCUGUUGGUGGAAAAUGAAGCACAGGGUACAUAACCGCCUUCAGGAGUAAGGGGGGUGGUGAGGAACAUUGGCAAUAUUUGGAACCUAGGCCCAUUAGCUUUCGUGGGGCCAACCCGCUUCUGGUAAGAGUAACCAAGAGAUGGAGAAACAUUUGGUCAUGAAGUGAAAAGAGAGCCCUGAAACCAAUGCAAUUGGUUGUGUGCAACUUAUCAGCACACUACUCCUACUCUCAAGGAACUUGGCAUGCAAUAAAAGGGGAAAAUGCAGAGUAUGGAUUGAAUGCACAAAGCUUACGUGGCUGAGAGAGUUAAUUCAACCAACACAGCCCAUGGACACUAGAGUUUAUCGUAUU